rnacentral:rRNA from 1 species
AUCCUGGCUCAGGAUGAACGCUAGCUACAGGCUUAACACAUGCAAGUCGAGGGGCAGCAUUACGGUAGCUUGCUACUGUAGAUGGCGACCGGCGCACGGGUGAGUAACGCGUAUCCAACCUGCCCAUGACUUGGGGAUAACCUUGCGAAAGCAAGCCUAAUACCCGAUACGCUUCAUAGACGGCAUCUGAAAUGAAGUAAAGGUUUACGGUUAUGGAUGGGGAUGCGUCCGAUUAGCUUGUUGGCGGGGUAACGGCCCACCAAGGCAUCGAUCGGUAGGGGUUCUGAGAGGAAGGUCCCCCACAUUGGAACUGAGACACGGUCCAAACUCCUACGGGAGGCAGCAGUGAGGAAUAUUGGUCAAUGGAGGCAACUCUGAACCAGCCAAGUAGCGUGCAGGAUGACGGCCCUAUGGGUUGUAAACUGCUUUUAUGCGGGGAUAAAUUGACUCACGUGUGGGUCAUUGCAGGUACCGCAUGAAUAAGGACCGGCUAAUUCCGUG